rnacentral:rRNA from 1 species
UACAGAGGGGGCAAGCGUUGUUCGGAAUUACUGGGCGUAAAGGGCGCGUAGGCGGCCCGCUAAGUCGAACGUGAAAUCCCCGGGCUCAACCCGGGAACUGCGUCCGAUACUGGCAGGCUUGAAUCCGGGAGAGGGAUGCGGAAUUCCAGGUGUAGCGGUGAAAUGCGUAGAUAUCUGGAGGAACACCGGUGGCGAAGGCGGGUCUCUGGGCCGUAACUGACGCUGAGGAGCGAAAGCGUGGGGAGCGAACAGG